CGACUCUCGGCAACGGAUAUCUCGGCUCUCGCAUCGAUGAAGAACGUAGCGAACUGCGAUACUUGGUGUGAAUUGCAGAAUCCCGUGAACCAUCGAGUCUUUGAACGCAAGUUGCGCCCGAAGCCAUUUGGCGAGGGCACGUUUGCCUGGGUGUCACAC
rnacentral:rRNA from 1 species